rnacentral:rRNA from 1 species
CUCAAAGAUUAAGCCAUGCAUGUAUCAGUACACGCCUUAACAAGGUGAAACCGCGAACGGCUCAUUACAACAGCUAUAAUCUACUCGAUCUUGACAAACUACUAGGAUAACUGUGGUAAUUCUAGAGCUAAUACUUGCACCGAAGCUGUUCCCUCACGGGGGCAGUGCAUUUAUUGGAGCAAAACCAGGCGGCUUCGGCCGUUUCUGCUGACUCAGAAUAACUAAGCUGACCGAAUGGGCUUGUCCCGUCGGCGUAUCGUUCGAGUGUCUGCCUUAUCAACUUUCGAUGGUAGUGUACGUGACUACCAUGGUUGUGACGGGUAACGGAGGAUAAGGGUUCGACUCCGGAGAAGGGGCCUGAGAAAUGGCCACUACGUCUAAGGAUGGCAGCAGGCGCGCAAAUUACCCACUCUCGGUUCGAGGAGGUAGUGACGAAAAAUAACAAGGCCGUUCUCUACGAGGCCGGCCAUUGGAAUGGGUACAACUCAAACCCUUUAACGAGUAUCAAUGAGAGGGCAAGUCUGGUGCCAGCAGCCGCGGUAAUUCCAGCUCUCAAAAUGCAUAGAACCAUUGCUGCGGUUAAAAAGCUCGUAGUUGGAUUUGUGCCGGCGCCGUGGUCCACCCUAACGGGCGGUACUGCGAGCGUCGGCUUUGGGCCGGUCUCCGGGCGGCGCACUUCACUGGGCGUCGUCCGUGGCUGGCUGGUUUACUUUGAGCAAAUCAGAGUGCUCAGCACAGGCGUCUCGCCGGAAUGUUCGUGCAUGGAAUAAUAGAACAGGAUCACGGUCCUCUUUUAUUGGUUUUGUGGACUGAGAUAAUGGUUAACAGAGACGAACGGGGGCAUUCGUAUUGCUGCGUGAGAGGUGAAAUUCUUGGACCGCAGCAGGACGGACUACAGCGAAAGCAUUUGCCAAGCGCGUCUUCA